GUGUCAGCAGCCGCGGUAAUACGGAGGGUGCGAGCGUUGUCCGGAAUCACUGGGCGUAAAGGGCGCGUAGGCGGCUCGAUAAGCGUGUGGUGAAAGCCUGGGGCUCAACCCCGGGUCGGCCAUGCGAACUGUCGAGCUGGAGCACUGUAGAGGCAGGCGGAAUUCCGGGUGUAGCGGUGGAAUGCGUAGAGAUCCGGAAGAACACCGGUGGCGAAGGCGGCCUGCUGGGCAGUAGCUGACGCUGAGGCGCGACAGCGUGGGGAGCAAACAGGAUUAGAUACCCUCGUAGUCC
rnacentral:rRNA from 1 species